rnacentral:rRNA from 1 species
AAAAUGCACAGGUCGUGAGUUCGAUGAGUAGGGCGGGACACGUGACAUCCUGUCUGAAUAUGGGGGGACCAUCCUCCAAGGCUAAAUACUCCUGACUGACCGAUAGUGAACCAGUACCGUGAGGGAAAGGCGAAAAGAACCCCGGCGAGGGGAGUGAAAUAGAACCUGAAACCGUGUACGUACAAGCAGUGGGAGCACCUUCGUGGUGUGACUGCGUACCUUUUGUAUAAUGGGUCAGCGACUUAUAUUUUGUAGCAAGGUUAACCGUAUAGGGGAGCCGUAGGGAAACCGAGUCUUAACUGGGCGAAUAGUUGCAAGGUAUAGACCCGAAACCCGGUGAUCUAGCCAUGGGCAGGUUGAAGGUUGGGUAACACUAACUGGAGGACCGAACCGACUAAUGUUGAAAAAUUAGCGGAUGACUUGUGGCUGGGGGUGAAAGGCCAAUCAAACCGGGAGAUAGCUGGUUCUCCCCGAAAGCUAUUUAGGUAGCGCCUCGUGAACUCAUCUUCGGGGGUAGAGCACUGUUUCGGCUAGGGGGCCAUCCCGGCUUACCAAACCGAUGCAAACUCCGAAUACCGAAGAAUGUUAUCACGGGAGACACACGGCGGGUGCUAACGUCCGUCGUGAAGAGGGAAACAACCCAGACCGCCAGCUAAGGUCCCAAAGUCAUGGUUAAGUGGGAAACGAUGUGGGAAGGCAUAGACAGCCAGGAUGUUGGCUUAGAAGCAGCCAUCAUUUAAAGAAAGCGUAAUAGCUCACUGGUCGAGUCGGCCUGCGCGGAAGAUGUAACGGGGCUAAACCAUGCACCGAAGCUGCGGCAGCGACG